rnacentral:rRNA from 1 species
ACGACGCUGGCGGCGUGCUUAACACAUGCAAGUCGAGCGGAAAGGCCCUUUCGGGGGUACUCGAGCGGCGAACGGGUGAGUAACACGUGAGUAAUCUGCCCUUGGCUUUGGGAUAACUACCGGAAACGGUGGCUAAUACCGGAUAUGACCAUGCUCGGCAUCGGGUGUGGUGGAAAGUUUUUUCGGCCAGGGAUGUGCUCGCGGCCUAUCAGCUUGUUGGUGGGGUAAUGGCCUACCAAGGCUUCGACGGGUAGCCGGCCUGAGAGGGUGACCGGCCACACUGGGACUGAGACACGGCCCAGACUCCUACGGGAGGCAGCAGUGGGGAAUAUUGGACAAUGGGCGGAAGCCUGAUCCAGCAACGCCGCGUGAGGGAUGACGGCCUUCGGGUUGUAAACCUCUUUCAGUACCGACGAAGCGCCGAUGAUGGUGGUGACGGUAGGUACAGAAGAAGCACCGGCCAACUACGUG